CGCCUGUUUAACAAAAACAUGUCCUUUUGAAUCUUAUAGAAGGUCUGGCCUGCCCAGUGAUAAUUUUAACGGCCGCGGUAUACUGACCGUGCAAAGGUAGCAUAAUCAUUAGUCUUUUAAUAGAGGGCUGGAAUGAAAGGUUUAACGAGGAAUUGACUGUCUCAUUUUAUUUGUUUUAGAAUUUAAUUUUUUAGUCAAAAAGCUAAAAUCUUAUUGGAAGACGAGAAGACCCUAUAGAUCUUUAUAAAACUUUAUUUAAUUAUUUUUAUAUUAUUUAAAUGAUUUUUUAUUUUGUUGGGGUGACAAAAAUAUAUGUAAAACUUUUUUAUUUAUUUAACAUUAAUUUAUGAUUAUUAGAUCCAUUAUUAGUGAUUGAUAGACUAAGUUACCUUANGGAUAACAGCG
rnacentral:rRNA from 1 species